CCAUUUCCGAAGCACUAAUAUUUUAUCUAGAGGAUGAAGAAAUACUAAGAGCAAAGCCACUGUUGCAACCUGUGGCAGGGUUAACUACUUGGGACCCCUAUAAGGAUGGUGACAACGUGACACAGCUGAGGAUGAGCAAGAGGAAAUUAAGCUGUGUGGAAGCUUUAUGAGGUUCUUCUCCUGGAGGAACAGAUUUAAGGUGGAUUGUCGAGUGAUACCAUACAAGAUGAAAUCAAAUGAAAAAUAAGGGGUGAGGAAAAGAGGACAAGGGGAAAACGAGACACAGAAAACGCAAAGGAAGCCAGGAGUGGGACAGCCUGGCUGCCAUCGGUAAGGUCCCUUGCCCUAACCAGGGUUGGCUAUGCAGUCAUCCCUGAGCUUUCUUGUCAUU